rnacentral:rRNA from 1 species
GACGAACGCUGGCGGCGUGCCUAAUACAUGCAAGUAGAACGCUGAAGGAGGAGCUUGCUCUUCUGGAUGAGUUGCGAAAGGGUGAGUAUCGCGUAGGUAACAUGCCUGGUAUAGGGGGAUAACACUUGGAAACGAUAGAUAAUACAGCAUAAUAGAAGAGGUUGCAUGAUAUUUAUUUAAAAAGUGCAAUUGCGCCACUAUAAGAUGGAGCUGCGUUGUAUUAGCUAGUUGGUGGGGUAACGGCUCACCAAGGCGACGAUACAUAGCCGACCUGAGAGGGGGAUCGGCCACACUGGGACUGAGACACGGCCCAGACUCCUACGGGAGGCAGCAGUAGGGAAUCUUCGGCAAUGGACGAAAGUCUGACCGAGCAACGCCGCGUGAGUGAAGAAGGUUUUCGGAUCGUAAAGCUCUGUUGUAAGAGAAGAACGAGUGUGAGAGUGGAAAGUUCACACUGUGACGGUAGCUUACCAGAAAGGGACGGCUAACUACGUG